rnacentral:rRNA from 1 species
UACAGAGGGUGCGAACGUUGCUCGGAAUUACUGGGCGUAAAGCGCAUGUAGGCGGAUCGAUAAGUCGGGCGUGAAAUCCCCAGGCUCAACCUGGGAACUGCGCUCGAAACUGUAGGUCUUGAGUGUCGGAGAGGAUGGCGGAAUUCCUGGUGUAGAGGUGAAAUGCGUAGAUAUCAGGAGGAAUACCGAUGGCGAAGGCAGGUCUCUGGGCUGACACUGACGCUCAUGCACGAAAGCGUGGGGAGCAAACAGG